UUCUGACCGUAAACGAUGCCAACUAGCGAUCCGCCGGCGGAUUCCAAACGCCCUGGUGGGGAGCUUCCCGGAAACGAAAGUCUUCCGGUUCCGGGGGAAGUAUGGUUGCAAAGCUGAAACUUAAAGGAAUUGACGGAAGGGCACCACCAGGAGUGGAGCCUGCGGCUUAAUUUGACUCAACACGGGAAAACUCACCCGGCCCGGACACCGCGAGGAUUGACAGAUUGAUAGCUCUUUCAUGAUUCGGUGGAUGGUGGUGCAUGGCCGUUCUUAGUUCGUGGAGCGAUUUGUCUGGUUUAUUCCGAUAACGAGCGAGACUCUAGCCUACUAACUAGUCCGCAUGUUCGCUUGUUGCAUGCUCGGGACUUCUUAGAGGGAUUUUCGGCGUUUCAGCCGCACGAAACUGAGCAAUAACAGGUCUGUGAUGCCCUUAGAUGUCCGGGGCUGCACGCGCGCUACACUGGCGAAAUCAGCGUGCCUGUCCUCUCGCGAAAGCGACUGGUAAACCGGUGAAAAUUCGCCGUGAUUGGGAUCGGAAAUUGCAAUUAUUUUCCGUGAACGAGGAAUUCCAAGUAAGUGCGAGUCAUCAACUCGCGUUG
rnacentral:rRNA from 1 species